rnacentral:rRNA from 2 species
GAUUAGAUUUUAUUUAUUAAUUAUUAUUAUUGAUUUUUAAAUUAUUAGAAAUAACUAUAAAUUAUAAAGUUUUAGUAUUGUUUAAAGAAAAAAUAAUUUUAAUAAUAGUUUAUUAGUAUUGUAAAAGAAAAUUGAAAUAAUUUGAAAAAAUUUUAAUUUAAAAGAAAAUUUAAUUUAUUGUACCUUGUGUAUCAGCGUUUAUUAAAUAAAAAAUAAAUAUUUAUUUUUCUCGAUUUUAAAAGAGUUAAUAUAAUAUAUAAGUUAAUGUAGUAAAAUUAUUUAAAAUAUUAUAUUAGAAAUGAAAUGUUAUUCGUUUUUAAAGGUAUCUAGUUUUUUAAGAAAUAAAUUUAAUUUAGAAAUUAUAAAUUUAUUUAGUUGUUUAAUUAAUUAAAUAAUUUAUAAUUUUAAUAUUUUAUGGGAUAAGCUAUAAAAUAAAUUUUUAAAAAUAAUAAAUAAAUUAAUAAAUAUAUGCUUAGAAUUAGCAACUAUUAAAAAGUUUGUUAUAAUUUAUUUUAUAAGUUAAAUUAUUUAUUAAAUUUUAAAUAUUUAUUAAAAUAUUAAUUUUAAUUUUUAAAAUUAAGUAAUAAUGAUAGAAUUAGUAUAUAGUAUUGUUAAAAUAAUUGUAAAUGAAAAGUUUAAAUAAAGAAUUCGGCAAAAAUAAUGUUCGCCUGUUUAACAAAAACAUGUCUUUUUGAAUUAUAUAUAAAGUCUAACCUGCCCACUGAUAAUAUUUAAAUGGCCGCAGUAUUUUGACUGUGCAAAGGUAGCAUAAUCAUUAGUCUUUUAAUUGAAGGCUGGAAUGAAUGGUUGGACGAAAUAUUAACUGUUUCAUUUAAAAUUUAAAUAGAAUUUUAUUUUUUAGUCAAAAAGCUAAAAUAAAUUUAAAAGACGAGAAGACCCUAUAAAUCUUUAUAUUUUAUUUAUUUUAAUUAUUAAGAUUAAUUUAAUUUUAAUAAAUUAAAAUAUUUUAUUGGGGUGAUAUUAAAAUUUAAAAAACUUUUAAUUUGUAAAAACAUUAAUUUAUGAAUAAUUGAUCCAUUAAUAAUGAUUAAAAAAUUAAGUUACUUUAGGGAUAACAGCGUAAUUUUUUUGGAGAGUUCAUAUCGAUAAAAAAGAUUGCGACCUCGAUGUUGGAUUAAGAUAUAAUUUUGGGUGUAGCCGUUCAAAUUUUAAGUCUGUUCGACUUUUAAAUUCUUACAUGAUCUGAGUUCAAACCGGUGUAAGCCAGGUUGGUUUCUAUCUUUAAAAAAUUAUAAUAUUUUAGUACGAAAGGACCAAAUAUUAAAAUAAUUAUAUUUAAUAUAAUGAAUAUUAUUAAUAUUUAUAUAAACUAUUUUGGCAGAUUAGUGCAAUAAAUUUAG